rnacentral:rRNA from 1 species
UACGGAGGGGGCGAGCGUUGUCCGAAGUUACUGGGCGUAAAGCGCGCGUAGGCGGGUUGGUAAGUCCGCUGUGAAAGCCCGGAGCUCAACUCCGGAGGGUCGGUGGAUACUGCCAGUCUUGAAGGUGCUAGGGGGAGAUGGAAUUACCGGUGUAGCGGUGAAAUGCGUAGAGAUCGGUAGGAACACCGGUGGCGAAGGCGGUCUCCUGGGGCAUUCUUGACGCUGAGGCGCGAAAGCUGGGGGAGCGAACGGG